rnacentral:rRNA from 1 species
GACGUAGGGCGCGAGCGUUGUCCGGAUUUAUUGGGCGUAAAGAGCUCGUAGGCGGCUUGUCGCGUCGUCUGUGAAAACCCGCGGCUCAACGGCGGGCUUGCAGUCGAUACGGGCAGGCUGGAGUUCGGUAGGGGAGACUGGAAUUCCUGGUGUAGCGGUGAAAUGCGCAGAUAUCAGGAGGAACACCGGUGGCGAAGGCAGGUCUCUGGGCCACUACUGACGCUGAGAAGCGAAAGCGUGGGGAGCGAACAGG